rnacentral:tRNA from 3 species
UGGCAUAUAACACAAUGGUUAGUGUAUAUUAUUACGAAUGAUAAAAUGUAAGUUCGAUUCUUACUAUGCCAU